rnacentral:rRNA from 1 species
AACGAACGCUGGCGGCAUGCCUAACACAUGCAAGUCGAACGAGACCUUCGGGUCUAGUGGCGCACGGGUGCGUAACGCGUGGGAACCUGCCCUUAGGUUCGGAAUAACUCCCCGAAAGGGGUGCUAAUACCGGAUAAUGUCUUCGGACCAAAGAUUUAUCGCCUUUGGAUGGGCCCGCGUUGGAUUAGCUAGUUGGUAGGGUAAAAGCCUACCAAGGCGACGAUCCAUAGCUGGUCUGAGAGGAUGAUCAGCCACACUGGGACUGAGACACGGCCCAGACUCCUCCGGGAGGCAGGAGUGGGGAAAAUAGGAAAAUGGGCGAAAGCCUGAACCAAAAAUGCCGGGUAAGUGAUGAAGGCCUUGGGGUUGAAAAGCUCUUUUACCCGGGAGGUUAAUGACAGUACCGGGAGAAGAGCCCCCGGUAAAAUCCCU